GGCGGGCCCCCUCGCAUCGCGGUGCUGUGAACCUGGUCAGGUCGGGAACGAAGCAGCCAUAGCAGAUUUCCGCGAGUGCCGAGGAUCAGGCUCGCCUUC
rnacentral:SRP_RNA from 1 species